rnacentral:lncRNA from 1 species
AACAUGGUUUUACCAUGGUAAAUAAAAAAUAAAAUAUUACAUAAUAUUCCAAUAAAUGUCAAAAAAAAAAAAAAAGAUAUUACUGUUGUGCAUAUGCAAACAAUAUGGUAUUACCAUGUUGCUUAUCCAAAACAGCAUGGUUUUACCACGGUAAAUGUAAAAAAAAAAAACAUGCCAUUACUUUGAUCUUAUGCAAAAAUACAUAUUAUUGCAAAUUAUUUUUCAAAAAUGAUAUUACCUUUGUGCACAUGCACAAAACAUGGUAUUAUUAUGGUAAAUAUCCAAAAACAACAUGGUAUUUCCAUGGUGCGUAUUGUAAAGCACCAUGGUAACAUUUGCAAAAACAUCAUAAUUUUAUCAAGGUACAUAGUCCAAAAAUCAUGAUCAAAACACAUGGUAUUGUACUUACAGAAAGUACCAUGGUACUACCAUGCUUUUUAUGUACCAUAGUACCAUGGUAUUUUUGGGUAUGUCUAUGUCUACAUAUAUUUACAUAUGUCUAUUUUGUAUAUCAUGUAUAUGCCACAAAAAUUUCCAUCAAAGUACUAUAUACAUUGUAAGUUUAACUCUUUACUAUAUUUCUCAAAACAUUAAUGAAUAAUCCUUAAUAAAGAAAUCCUUUUAACAAUGUUAUAUUUUUAGAUAUCAUUUAUAUCGUUUAGUACAAAGUGUUAUUUUUUAUUAUUUUUCAAUAUAUGAUGUUACUAAAAAAUUCUUCGGUACCAUGGUAUUACCAUCUGAUCCACUCCAUUUCAUGGUACCACCACAGUAACGUACUGUACAUGUGUGUCAUGUUAGUGAGCCUGGUGUGUUUUGUGUGCAGUGUUUUAGUCAGUGUGUCUGUGGUGUGUGAGGAGCCGUUAGGUUAUGAUGGGUCACAGACAGCCCAGCGAGAGUCUGUCCAAACCAGCUCUCAGUCAAUCUCUGUGUGAGUCUGAAGCAGCAGGAAUAGAGACAUCUGCAAUAAUCACUCGCGCUCCGUGGUCUGACCGCCCCGUACUUACAGCGGCUGUCGUCGGCUUCCCCCUUCUCAUCCAUUUUUUCUCCUCCUCCACCGACCCCCACAGGAAUCUCUUGCUUCACGUAAAACAAAAAACUACGAAUCGUGCAGCUGCUGUGUUUUUUUCAUAUAAAAUAGUUUUCAAGAAGCUGUGUGAAGGACGUUCAUGUUACAAUGAGUUACAGCUGUUGAUUCCUCUUCAAAGUUAUUGUCACCUCAAGAUAUAAGGUAUCACCCUACAGCGUUUUCCUGAGUCAGUCAAGCUGUGUGAAGGAAAUUAGUUUUACAAUAAGGUAAUUGUGAACUUGCUCAUUUUUAAAACAUUUUGUGAACUUGCUCAUUUUUUUUUUAAUCCUUGAUUUCAUUACUUGUGUCAUGACCUCUUUAUGCGACCUCUUUAAUCAUUAAUGUUAUAAGAUGGCAUGUGAUUUACAUAUGUGAUUACUUUUUAUCUGUACUUGCUACCCACCACUAGUCUCAGUGGCUCCAUUUUUCCUCCUGUCUUGUGUCUGUUUCAGAUUAGCACAGAGUUCAAUAGAGUAGUCACCACUGAUCAACUGCAGUCAUCUUGGAUGGAAUAGAUGCUUUAGUGUCUUAGCUGUACAAAGCAGACUGUAUCAUCAAGUAGUAGGUUGAACCUUAGCAGCGUUAUACAGUGCCUUAAUAAGGAGGUAUGAAUAAAAAUUAACUCAAUUUGAUCAAUUUCCACUAAUAUAAGUGUUCUAAUUUAUAUAUUGGAGUCACUCAGUCUUUGUUUAUAAUUGUAUGUAUGACACAAAUUGGAACAGAAGAAAAGCUGCCUAUAUAUAUAUAUAUAUAUAUAUAUAUAUUAUAUGUAUAUAUAAUAAUAAUAUAAUUAUUAUUAUUAUUAUGGGUUGCACUUUUAAUUUACAGUAGGUGUACUUACAUGUACUUACGGUGAGCCUAGAGUGUACUUAUCUAAGAAAGUACUGGUAAUAUAAGGUAACUACAUGGGGUAGGGUUAGGUUUAGGGGUAGGUUCAGGGUUAGUAUCUAGCUAUUACCUAGUUAUUGUAAUUACUAUAAUAAGUACAUAGUAUGUACAUUAGAAACAGGACUGUAAAAUAAAGUGCUACCAUUAUUUUGUCCCAGAAUCAGUAAUGAUGUAUACUGUCAGUCAAUCUAAGUAGCAUACUAUUGUCAGACUCUAUUCUGAGUUUUGGUUGUGUUUUGCUCCCCAUGUGUUCCUGUCCUGAUUACGCUGAUUAUUAAUUUGAUUCCAGGUGUUUUCUGUGUUGUUCCAUUGAUCGCAGGUGUGUCUAAUCGUUAGUCCCUAUUGUCUGAGUAUUUAAAGAGUGUUCUGUUCCCUGUUGGUUUGUUCUGGUAUUGUUGAUGUCAACUCCUUGUAUUACUUGUGAUUCUCACGAUAUGAAUAAAUUCCUUGGUUUAGUACUCCUGGUCUCCUCGUUCCUCGCUCCGUGUUCCCGCACAGUAGCAAACCGUGACAACUAUAUAUCGUGCCUAAACAUGUCAUCAAUAAUAUCAUGUACAAAUAUAAAGUACAAAUGUAACAAAAUAUUAAAUGAGUUGACCUUUGUUUUUUUGUUUUUCUGAAAUCUCAAAUGCUGAAUGUUAGUCAAGUGUUUACUAUAAGGAAAAACCAUUGAGUGUUCAUUGGAAAUAGACAAAUUUCACAUUCUUGUAAGUUGUUUAACUCAGAGCAUCAAGUUGAAACAACACAUGACCAUAAGUUUAAUAAAUUGUAAAAUGUAACUUCUUGAGUUGAAACAAAGAGUGUUUAAGUUGAGUUAACUCACAUUUUUAAGGCAGCAGGUGAACUUUCGUUUUUAAGUUUAACCAACUUGAAAUGUUUUACAGUGUGGCAAUUAUUCCUUCCUUCUAGAAAAGCAGCGAAACCAGCCGAUGUAAAUUGAACACCAUUAUCAGUGACUAUGCUCAGUGGAUUGCCAUGACGGCUUAAAACUGAUGACAGGAACGAAAGCACAUCUGUGGAGACACUGUGAGCAAAGGAGACCUCAGGCCAUUUGCUAUAUCAACUAAGGUUAUAGCAAAUCUGCAGUCAAAUGGCCUGACGAUAUCCACGGCCACUUUCUGCCAUGGUCCAUCUGGCAGAGGCACAGGUUGGAGAGGAGCAGGAUGUGACUUGGCAGUUUUGUCAUUGAGCGGGCAGAUGGGGCAGCGACGGACAGCAUCAUAAACCUGAGCAUCUAUCCCUGGCCACCAGUAGAGUUUGCGAAGGCGUUGUUUGGUUCUCACUUCUCCCUGGUGUCCUUCGUGCACUAGGGAGAUCAGCACAGACUGAAGAGCAGUAGGUGCAAUUAGCCGUGAGCCACGGAAAACGAGGUUGUCUUUUACAGACAGUUCCAGUCACAGUUUGUAAUAUGGUUGCAACUCCACAUCCAAUCCCUUGUGGCAUAUUUACACUCCGCAGUAGACAGUGUACGUGAUGCAAAGGCCACAGUUUGUUCAACUCCAUCUGGGCUGAUCUGAGACAGUAUGGCUCCCAGACCAUAGUCAGAAGCCUCUGUAGAGACAAUCGUGUGUAGUGUGGGGUCUCGGAAAACUCGGAAAAGGCACGUUAGCAACAGCCAUCUUCGUGACCACUAGUCACAGAAAAAAUCUAAUCCUCAUUGCCAAUUUGUGACAUCUGCCAGGAGUUAAUGAGACUAGUCAGUAAUAACGAACCUCUCUUCUUCUUUCAAUACCAGUUUUCUCUUCCUCUAGCAUCACCUAAAAUGGUACUAAUUCCGGUUCAAAAUAGCAGUCCGUAACACAACAUUAUGAACAUGAACACAACAGAUUGGUUGAUAGGGAAUGUUGUUCCAGGAAGUUCAACUUGGAGAAAUCAUAAGCUGUGCUCGAUACCACAUAUAUUGCAAAAAGCAGUGUUUGUGAGGUGUAGCAUUGAUUAUCCUGUGAGGCCACAGGUGAGGAGUUGAAGGAUAGGUCAUUUGACAAUCCCAGAAUGAUGGAUGUAGUACAUCUGAAUCCAUUCAUAGCUACUACACAC